rnacentral:lncRNA from 1 species
AUUUAGAGUAGUCUAUAUAUUAGAGCUAAUUCAAACUCAUUUCUAACUUAGAGCCCUUCUGUUGUCUCUAUUGCAUACUCCAUAAGUCUUUGUACUUACACUGUGGGAUUAUGGCCCCAUGUAAACUCUAGGAAUUGUUUGGUUUAUAGCUCUUAUGUACAUUUUCUUUUCUCAGAUGUCAUUCUUUGCUCUGCCUUAUAGUGUGCAAGUACAAAUUGAUAGUCAUAGAUUCUAUUCAGAUUUCUGGAACUCCUUCUCUGUAUAGCUCUCUUUUCUCAAAUAUUCUGGCAGGCAAGUUACAGCCACCUUGGCCUCUUGAACGGUGAUCUCUGGCUCUUCUACUCAGUGAGACUGCAGUUUGGAUUUCUCCUCCCUGCUCAGUGGUUCAGAAAUUGCCUUUAGGCAGAAAGUUUGGGUGACCAUAGGACUCAGUUCACUUAUUUUCUUUCUUUCUGGGAUCACAGUUGUCUGUUGCCUAUUGUCCAAUGUCUGAAAAUAGUCAUUCCCUGUAUUUUGUUCUUCUCUCUAGUUUUUACAGGGGAAGGAUAAUUUCAAACCCUGUAAUUUUCUUACAGCAGAAAUAGUUUUCCCCUAAUUGUAUUGGAAACUCUCUUCGUAUAGACUAUAUGCUCUUCUAUGACAGGGACCUGGUAAAGGAUCUUUGAAAGAGUUGAAUCAAUCAGUGAAGUCUGGACUUACAUUGAACCACAUAAAAUUGACAAUAUUUGUCCAUUUUCAGUCUAUAUGGUUCAUGUGGUUUAACUUUAUACACUUCUAAUUCGAAUUAGCCAAGGAAAGCAGACUCAAGCAGAGCUGGUUACAUUUUCAGAGCGAGAUCUCAUCCAAGGAUGGAUUUACAUGAACUGUGCAUCUGGAAAUCUUAGGACAAUUUUGUUGACUUCAUUCUUAAACAGAACAAUUUAGCUCUAUUGAUGUGGGCUUUGGGUUUUUAGGUUAAGCUGUUUUUCUUUGAAGAAGAGGACUUUUUCUAUGAUAGAGUUUAUAGUUUAUUUGAGGAGUAUAUCCUUGUUCCUCAUGGGCUCAAAUAAGUUCUUUCCAAGACAAGAGGUUUAUAAGAGGAAACUUCACCCUGAGUCUCAUCAGAGUAAUCAAUCACAGUGGUCCUGUCUCUCUGACCUGGGUUGGGAAUCUUUCAGCAGGAAUGUGGUUGAGCUCUUUGUGAGGAAAACAGCCUCACUAAGGACAUAAGAAUGUUGUCGUUUGUUGAGUUUGUGGUUGUGACUGCCAAGAGGAAUGGAGGAUUUUGAGAACUAUGAUGGUGAUCUCGGAGAGACAGCUUGGAGCGAGAUCUUAACUUUCUGCUCAGGAAUUGAACCUGGGAAGCCUGGAUGAAACUAGAAGUCCUAGUCACUAGAUUAGCUAGAGGCUGAAAGUAGAAUUGGCCAAAUUCUUGCUCCCUGUUGAAAGCAAGAAUGCUUCAGGGAGGCAAAGACUGUGGAAACAGGUAUAAAGUUUAUUGUUGGAGUCAAAGUACAACAUGCAGGAGAGCACACAGACAAGUAGUUUAUUUAAGUCAGAAGCAAAGAAGUAAUACCCACCCUAAAGAGGACUGAGGGUGUGGGCACCCGCCUCAAUGAGAAGCACGUCAGAGAGGUGAUUUAAAUCACUUAUAUAGGACAGUUCUUCCUGGCCUUUGUUUACCUUUGGCCAAUUAUCUUGUUUUAACUCUCACAACUGGCUGGACACAGGACCCUCCCCGAUAUGCAUAUUCAUCUUUUGGCAAAGAUGGAUUCCAGAGCAAAGGGUGGCAGGAUGGUAUCAGGAUUAUCAGGAUUUAUUAUGGCUCGGCACCCCCUCCCUUUCUGACCCCUAGGAGUCUUACUGUGCAUGUGUAAUUGGGGAGAUCUCCUUAACUCCAGGAGUGAUUGAAGUGGUCAUAUGGAAAAUGAAACAAGGCCUAGAAGGAGACAGACUCUUUCUUAACAAACAGGACCAUGUAAGGGAUGAGUUCCCAAAGACAAAGAUAGCCCCAAGGCCACUGACCACAUGGAUCAACAAAACAAACCGUGUCUAUAAAAAAACAUAAAAAAACACAAACACUCCCCUUCUCAUUGCUCUAGCCUCUGCCACAGCCACAGCAACGUGGGAUCUGAGCCGGUCUGCAACCUACACCACAGCUCACGGCAACACUGGAUCCUUAACCCACUGAGCAAGGCCAGGGGUCAAUCCUGUAACCUCAUGGUUCCUGGUCAGAUUUGUUAAUCACUGCACCACAAAGGGAUCGCCUCUUCUUAUCAAUCUUAUCUCUUCUAAGAUUGUUAGACGAUUUGUUCUUCCAACAAUCUUAUCCCUCUACUCCAGCUGAGCUCAGCUCCUUCAGCUGACAUUUUCCUUGAGGUGUCAAAGAGAAACAAGGCCCAGUUUCCUUGGCCUAAUAAGUCCCAGCUGUUCUCAGCCCAGGGGCCCAUCUACCUCCUACCUCAAUGAGGGUGACAAAACUAUAUUGUUGUCUCACCAGUCAAUGCACAAAAUGGAGACAUCAGCUUGGUAAUUGCAUUUAGCAGAGAAAAACUAAAAAAGCCAAAGAUAACUCUCUGUUGAGAUUUUAGUUUCACUAUUUCAUAAUGUAUAAUAGAGAACACUUUGUAUACAUUUAUAAGAAAAGGUAUCUUAUGGAUAACCAGAUUGCUGUGAAUUUCAUUUAGCAUUCUACAGAUAACUGCAUGUAAGGGCAUUCUGUAAGCUUCCUUCUAAAGAUAUUACUGAGAUGACAUAUGGCCUGGUGUGUUUGCAUCCUUGCUUCUCAGAGUGUUAGGCAUUAGUGUUUACUGUCUAAGGUCAGGUAGAGGAUUUUAAUGGGUUGGAUUUUGACCAAAAUUUAUGUUUGGAGUCUUAUCCCUAGGAACUCAACAUGUCACUUUUCUUUUUUUUGGAGAUAGCAUCUUUAUAGAGGUAACCAAGCAAAAGUGAGGUCAUUAAGGUAGGCUCUCAUCCAGCAUGCCUGUUGUCCUGGUAAGAAGGGGAAACUUGGACAAAGGGAUACACAUAGAGGGAAGAUGAUAUGAAGAGACAAGGAGAAGAUGGCCAUUACAAACCAGGUGGAGAGACCUGAAAUGGAGCCUUCCCUCACAGCCCUCAGAAGGAACCAGCCCUGCCAACAACUUCAUCUCAGACUUUAGCCUCAAAAACUGGGAGACAAUAAAUUUCUGUUUUAGGCUGCCCAUUUUCUGGUGCUUUGUAUUAGGAAACUAAUACAAGCAUUUAUUCAGGAGUAUGCAUUAUAAACUGACUUAGGAGGAGGAAGAACCAUGUAAGGAACAGUAAGGUGCCAGGAAAGUUCGUGGACACUGUUAGCUUGGGAGAUAGGGUGGCAAUGGGUUCUUGUUUUUAUCCUGUUUGUGGGUGGAACAGGGCAGGGCAUCAGGCCUAGCCUCAGGUUCACUAAGACCUUACUAAUUUUUGCUCAUCUGAUUGGGAAGGAUUUAGAAGAAGUAGAAUAAGACUUGAAUUUUCUGUGUGAGUUGUGAGGGGAUAUGAUGGCUUCAAAAGAGAUUACUUGGAGUGCAUAGAGGGUUUGGAAGAAAAACACGUAAAUACUCUAAAUUUGGCCAUUGGCAUUUAAGAAACUUAACAUCGUGUUGCGGAAGGGUUAUUUUAUACUCCGCUGAUCUGAAGGAUUCUGAGACGUAUGGAACGUGUAUAAAUCUUACUUUAAUUAAAUGCUUAGGAACGUCUAAAGGUCUACUCUAUUUCUUUGCUCCUUUGUCUCUCGUUCUCUCUGAAUUAUGGGGGUGACAGUGCAGAUUUUUUUGAUCCCUGACUCAUCCUUUUACCUACUUGCUCUGGUGUUUAUAUGAAAAUAUUUCCUGCAGUUGAAAGGGUAACUGUUCUAAUGUUCAAGACGAAGAAGGAGGUCCAAAUGUUAGCUCUCAAACAGUGAGACCUUAUUAAGAGUGGAAGUAAAAAGCCCCCAGACACUCAUUGAGGGAGCACAGGAGGGGCCCCAGGCCUGUCAACAAUCAGUUACAACUGAGGCCCUUCCCACUCCUCUGGCCAGGGUCUAAUUUAAAUCUCAGUUGGCUGGAACUUCUUGAUUUGAUUACACCAGUUCCCAGGCUGUGAGGAGUUAAGCCAAAAAGGUUUUCAUUAAUUUGCCUUCUCCCUAAAGAUUUGAGACUUGCUGUUUCAAAGAAAGCGAGAUACCACAAUGAGCCAACUAUUUGGUGAGAAGUUUCUCCUCUGGGAGAAAGGCGUUUGCUCAGAUUCCAGCCUUUCAAAUGUCAAAUGUUACUCAUCCCUGCUUUGGCUCUUGCAAGCCUGUGUAGUUCCUUCUUUUUUCUUUUAAUUGGAGUAUGUUUUCUUCUACUAGUAGCUCAGGGAACUUUUACUUGCUGUUGGAAAUCUAACCCUGGUACACGAAAAGUAUGACUAAUCCUACUUACUGGAAUUUCAGUGUUUUCAUCAAGGCCGCAGUUUCCAUUUCCAAUUUUACAUAAUAAGGGAAACACACCAACUGGCAAACACUCUUUUUGUCGGUUGGUGUACAUCAAAAUAUCUCCUGUGUUAUAAUUGAAAGGAAAGUUUCAUAAUGGAGAUUUUUUUUUUUUUUUGCAAUUGAAGGAAAACUGUCUGCAAGUAUAUUUAAAGAAAGGGUAGCUCAUGAGAUGAGUACCCAGUUAAGAUGUUUACUCAAUGAAGUAGUUAAACUUUUCAGCUGCUUUUUAAUUGUCUGUACAGCAGGAUAUUAGGUUAUUUUUAGGCAGAAAGAGUGGUAUAUACACUGAGUCAUGGCCAGUGGAAGGAUUUUAGAACAACAUACAAAUGCUCAUGCCAUUAAAAUGACUUAGUUAAGCCAUCAUUGUGAUGGCCAUUGGAAAGAUGAAAGAAUAUCAGCUAACGCAAACCAAAUUUUUGUCUUCAUCGAAGCCAUCAUUUAUUACUUCGUUAUGGAUAUCUGGAAUGCCAU